CAAGCUGUUCAUGAAACUGAAGCAGUGGAAAAAGAUAGAUGAACUGCUGCAGCUGCAGUCAAAUCUUUUGGAGGUUUCCAGUAUGGAGCGAGUGAUGAAGGCCCUUCAGGAACAAGCAGCAACAGUACUAGAGGCAAAGCCACCCACUUUUAUGACUUCUUUUAAGUCACAACAAUAUGAUCUAAUCUGGGACAAGAUUUAUGAAAGCACAGAACUACUUCAGGGAAGAAGAAGUAGUGAUAGUCCUACUACUGCAAUUUUGGCAGCUGAUGAGAAGGACAUGGAAAACAACAUCUUUAGGAAGACUUCCACUUUUUCAAGAAAGAAGAAAGACACAAGCUACUCGCUGCUGGAGUCAGACAAGGACAUGGAGACCAGCAACAAAGACCUCGCUCUGAGGAAAGGAGCCUACCUGUCUCUCGUUUAUUUGCGUCACUUGAGAAUCCGAGAGCUGAAGAGAAUUUGCUUGGGGAUUCUUAAUUACUUCAGAUCUGUGGAAAGAACUGUAACAAUCAGCACUUCAGGCCUUGCCUUGAAUAGCGGCCAUUUGGUCUCCACCGCAGAGGACCCCUGCUGGGUGAAUGCAGCCAAAGGUGGCACUGGCUGCUAUGGUGGUCUUGCUUCACACCCUUACAUGCAUUAUACACCAGCAGACUAUAAGCUUCUGGAUAUUUACUUUGAAGCAUAUCAACAUGCCUUAGACCCAGAAGAGAGAUUUGCUUUGGCUCAGAUAAUAACUGAUAUCAUGUAUAGACGGCCUCGAUUUGAUUUUCAUCUCAAAUAUUUUGUGAACAUCUAUAAUGAUGAAUGUGCUUGUCUUAAGCUUCACCUACAGCUUGUGAGAGAGAUAUUGAACCAACAGAUAGAUACGCAACGUGAAUAUAACAAGAAGAUUUGGCAUGAUUGUCCCGAAGGAGGCAUCCAUGAAUUUGGUUUCCCUCCCUAUAUAAUUGCAAAACAACUAAUUGCCAUUAAUAACAGCCCUUCAGCUUUGAAGACCAUUUAUUUGCUGGAGUUCCACCCUUCACUUGGCCUGGUAUCUUCAAUCCCUAAAGCCCUUGGUCAUGUCCUCCAGGAGUUCCAGCAACUUUGUAGGCCAAAGACAGCCAGUGAAGCAAUUAACCUGGAGAAACAUGUGCUUCAACUUGCCCUGGACACAUGGUUGACUUUGGAAAGUCCAGAGUCUUUUUAUGCUUCUCAGA
rnacentral:lncRNA from 1 species